rnacentral:misc_RNA from 1 species
GAUGAAGAACGUAGUGAAAUGCGAUAAGUAAUGUGAAUUGCAGAAUUCAGUGAAUCAUCGAAUCUUUGAACGCACAUUGCGCCCGCCAGUAUUCUGGCGGGCAUGCCUGUUCGAGCGUCAUUUCAACCAUCAAGCCCCAGGCUUGUGUUGGGGACCUGCGGCUGCCGCAGGCCCUGAAAACCAGUGGCGGGCUCGCUGUCACACCGGGCGUAGUAGAUUUUAUCUCGCUCAGGGCGUGCUGCGGGUUCCGGCCGUUAAAAAGCCUUUUUUACCCAAGGUUGACCUCGGAUCAGGUAGGAAGACCCGCUGAACUUAGGCAUAUCAAUAAGCGGAGGA